UACGUAGGAUCCGAGCAUUAUCCGGAGUGACUGGGUGUAAAGAGUUGCGUAGGUGGCAUAAUAAGUAGCUAGUGAAAUCUGGUGGCUCAACCAUUCAGACUAUUAGCUAAACUGCUAAGCUCGAGACCGUUAGGGGUAACUGGAAUUUCUAGUGUAGGAGUGAAAUCCGUAGAUAUUAGAAGGAACACCAAUAGCGUAGGCAGGUUACUGGGACGGUUCUGACACUAAGGCACGAAAGCGUAGGGAGCAAACGGGG
rnacentral:rRNA from 1 species